GGCCUUGACAUACUAAGAACUUUCCAGAGAUGGAUUGGUGCCUUCGGGAACUUAGAUACAGGUGCUGCAUGGCUGUCGUCAGCUCGUGUCGUGAGAUGUUGGGUUAAGUCCGCAACGAGCGCAACCCUUUUCCUUAUUUGCCAGCGGGUAAUGCCGGGAACUUUAAGGAUACUGCCAGUGACAAACUGGAGGAAGGCGGGGACGACGUCAAGUCAUCAUGGCCCUUACGGCCAGGGCUACACACGUGCUACAAUGGUCGGUACAAAGGGUUGCUACCUCGCGAGAGGAUGCUAAUCUCAAAAAGCCGAUCGUAGUCCGGAUCGCAGUCUGCAACUCGACUGCGUGAAGUCGGAAUCGCUAGUAAUCGCGGAUCAGAAUGCCGCGGUCGAAUACGUUCCCGGGCCUUGUACACACCGCCCGUCACACCAUGGGAGUUUGUUGCACCAGAAGUAGGUAGUCUAACCGCAAGGAGGACGCUUACCACGGUGUGGCCGAUGACUGGGGUGAAGUCGUAACAAGGUAAGCGUAGAUGA
rnacentral:rRNA from 1 species